CAGAACGAACGCUGGCGGCGUACUUAACACAUGCAAGUCGAACGAGAGGGCGUGGGUGUAGCAAUACAGUCGCACCAGUUAAGUGGCGAACGGGUGCGUAACACGUAGAUAACGUUCCUUGGAGGGGGGAAUAUCCCGGGGAAACCUGAGCUAAUCCUGCAUAAUAUUCCGCUGACUCAUCCCAUCGGGAUCAAAGGCCAGCAAGGGUCUCUUGAGGAGGGGGCUGCGGCCGAUUAGGUAGUUGGUGGGGUAUAUGUGCCUCCCAAGGCGGUGAUAAGUAGCCGGCCUGAGAGGGCGCACGGCCACACUGGCUUGUUCUCCGGGCCAUGGACCUACGGGAGGCAGCA
rnacentral:rRNA from 1 species